GUUAGUGCUCUGGUAUUGUGCCUGGGCGAUCAUUCACAAGCUCCACCACAGUCUGGACCUUGACUUCCUGAUCACAGGCCACACGAAGUUUGCUCCCAAUUGGUUCUUCGGCCUCAUCAAGCAGCACGUCAGAAAGACCAGAGUGAACACUUUUUCAGAGAUUGCUGGUGUUGUGAAGGACAGCUCUGUGACUGGUCAACAUCCCACCACUGGUUGGACUGGAGGAUGGUACGGUGCUGGUGGAAAGCUAUGGCUGGCAACAACACCUGACUCUGUACUUCAGGCCGCUGCCACAGAUCAGUACCAGCACUUCAGCUUCGAUGCUCUUGAGCCUGGUGUUGUUGUCGCCAAUGAGUAUUCGGACUCAGUUGGGACCAGGUUUCAGAUGCUGCGCAACGGUGACAUCCUUCCUCCCAUAGAUGGUACAAACAACUACACUAACUAACUACAAAAGGACAUAAACAGGAAUUACUAUAAACUAUAAAUACAACAACAAACAAAAACCAACUAGCAUUGUCAUAUGACUGGCGAUCAGGAGCUCCUUCCCUUAGUAUACUGAACAAAAAUAUAAACGCAACAGGCAACAAUUUCAAUGAUUUUACUGGAGUUACAGAUCAGGGAAAUCAGUCAGUUGAAAUAAAUUCAUUAGACCCUAAUCUAUGGAUUUCACUGGACUGGGAAUACAGAUAUGCAUAUGUUGGUCACAGAUACUUUUGUAUACAGUAUAUAGUGUAUGUCAUGGGGCUACCCACUUGGGAGCAAUGAGUUUCUUCCCACAAAAGGGCUUUAUCAGCUGUAUGAGUGGCUAGUCCCAGAGUAUGAACAUGCCAGAUGUGGAGGUCCUGGGCUGGCAUGGCUACACAUGGUCUGCGGUUGUGAGGCAGGUUGGACGUACUGACAAAUUCUCUAAAACAAUGUUGGAGACGGCUUAUGGUAGUGAAAUUAACAUUAAAUUAUCUGGCAACAGGUCUGGUGGAUAUUCCUGCAGUCAGCAUGCAAAUUGCACACUUCAUCAAAACUUGAGACAUCUGUGGCAUUGUGUUGUGUGACAAAACUGCACAUUUUAGAGUGCACAAAAUGCACCUGUAUAAUGAUCGUGUUGUUUAAUCAGCUUCUUGAUAUGCCACACCUGUCAGGUAGGUGUAUUAUCUUGUCAAAGGAGAAAUGCUCACUAACAGGUAUGUAAACAAAUAUGGGCACAAAAUUUGAGUGAAAUAAGAUUUUUGUUUGUAUACAACAUUUCUGGGAUCUUUUAUUUUAGCUCAUGAAACAUGGGACCAACACUUUACAUUUAUAUUUUUGUUCUGUAUAUAUGAAAUCAGCACCAUCCCUCUUGAUGUGUUAUUUGGUCCCAAUUAUCAGUAAAAUCUUGAGACCUCCCACUUUCUUUUGCAAUCAAUCAUUCUAGUGUAUAAUGGUGUUUGACAGUUAUUUUUGAAAGAAUCAAAUACUAACAUAUUUGUUUUCUGAGUUUUAAAAAUUAAAACCUUCCCCAGCAGAAUCAAGGGAUCAUAUAUUGGGUUGCAUCUGUCCCUAAAGUCACGCAAUAUAACUGUUUGUGGAGAGAAAACAAAGUUGUGUAAAACAGGGAGUAACCACUCUUGUACUUUUGCCCAAGUGUUUGCAACUAUGGGGCAAUACCAGCAAAUAUGUAACAAAUCCUCUUCGAUGCCCCAUAUUUGUAACAUGUUGUUAGUUGCCAGAACAUUAUAAAAUAUCUUCAACUGAAACAUUCAGAUUGUGGAGUCUAAGGUUGUUUUAUAAAUAAAACCAAAAACCUUUUUCCAGGGGAUGGGAGUAUUAAACUGCUCUUCUUUUGGGGCGGCAGCUGAAAGGUUGCUAGAUCGAAUCUGUCGUUCUGCCCCUGAACAAGGCAGUUAACCCACUGUUCCUAGGCCAUCAUUGUAAAUAAGAAUUUGUUCUUAACUGGUUGCCUUGUUAAAUAAAGGUUAAAUAAAAUAAAAAAUCCCAGUAAGAGUGGAAUUUAAGUGGGAUGGCAAACAAUUUGUUGUUUUCCAAAUGUAAAUGGUACAGGUCUUUAUAAAUAUUAUCUAUAGUUAACCAUCUGUGAGAUUUAAUUUGAGGUCUACAAACAGUUUAUCUUCUCUUCCCCUUCAUUUUUUCUUCCAUUCUGUUGGAAUUGCUGCCAGUAACUGAUUGUAAUUAUGAUUUGUACAUAGAGUAUGUUCCCAUACAUCAUGCACAGUGUUUCAGAUAAAAUACAAUACCCAUUACUAUCAAUGAUAUCAUUUCAAAAUAAGAUCCCCUUUUCCAGAAACACAUUCUAUGUUUCAUUUAUAUUUAUUCAUCAGUAUAUUUGAAAUGAAUCAUAUGAUUUGGGUCGGAAAAGGGGGAUCUUCUGGGGGACAAUAUUGAAAAUGCAACCAAGCUUUAAUUGAUUCUUUGAAGAAUAGGGAUAUGUCUAUUAAGAUACCAUGCAGGAACCAAAUAAAGUGCAAAGAGUUCAUUUGUAUAAAAUUAAAUAUUUUGGAAUUGAGAA